CCUAUGGUGUUAUGUGCCAGGGACAAGUUCGCUUGCAUGUGUUUGGAUGGUGUUCAGCACCAAGGACAGAUGUAUUUGCCU
rnacentral:pre_miRNA from 1 species